rnacentral:lncRNA from 1 species
GCAUAGUUAAUAUUGGUGGAAAGUGGAUUGAUUUUUAGAACUUCCUUUCUAUUGAGAAAGAUUAUAAAGAUAUGAGAACUAGUGCACCUUGACUGAGAAACAAAGAAACUCUUUGAGAAAGCAGCUCAACCAGUUUUAUGAGAAUAAAUUUAGGAAUUAAUUAAAAUAGCUUUGUAAGACACAGUUUUAGAAUAAUGUUAGAAAUAUUAUUUUAUUUAGAUUCUUAAGUUUAGAGAUUCUUAAGCUUUUAGUUGUAUAGGUUUCUGAUAUGUUUUAAGAAUGAUUCAUAAACUUUAGGGUAUUUUAAAUAUAAGAUUUAAAGGGACUUUUUUAGAUGGGAAUUUUAGAUUAGAAAUAAAGUACAAGUGUACUUUAGGUUAAUGAUUGGUUAGGAGACUUAGAGUCUGGUUAUGUAGUUUGGCAUUAGUUAAUAAGAAAAUAGCAUAUCUCGGGAAAAAUAGUAAAUCUUGGGAAAAUCUGAAAAAAUGUAAAUUAGUGACGUAUUUUAUUAAUGAUUCUGUACUUUUAAUAAUUAUAUAACUGAAGGACAUAUCCUGGAAAAAUGUAAAUUAAUGUUACAUUUUUUGUACCCCCAAUCAUGGUUAAGGAAAUGUCAUGUCUUGGCAAAGUUUUAAAUUAUAUAAUCAAUGACGUAUUCUGAAUCUAUAAUGAUGAGAAAAAUUGUAAUAAAAGAUGACCCAGAGAAAGCUGCAUUAGCUCUCUCUCUGGAGAUUGCUCGAACGGAACGACUCCUGUCUCAUCUUUUUGCUGACGCCACUCAUCCUUCAGGACUCCCUGGACCCCGCUAGGGAAGGAACCCGGCAAAUAAAGAUAAAAUCUUAAAGGCUGCGAGAGAAAAAAAAUCAAAUUAUAUAAUAGGGGGAAACCAAUUUGGAUCUCAACUGAUUUCUCAGCCCAGACCCUCAAAGCUAGGAGAUCCUGGAAUAAUAUAUUUUAAGCUCUGAAAGAAAAUGGAUGCCAACCAAGAAUUUUAUAUCCAGC